UCGAACUACUAUAUAUGCCUUCGACGACA
rnacentral:sRNA from 1 species